rnacentral:rRNA from 1 species
GACGAACGCUGGCGGCGUGCCUAAUACAUGCAAGUAGAACGCUGAAGGAGGAGCUUGCUUCUCUGGAUGAGUUGCGAACGGGUGAGUAACGCGUAGGUAACCUGCCUGGUAGCGGGGGAUAACUAUUGGAAACGAUAGCUAAUACCGCAUAAUAGUAGAUGUCGCAUGACAUUUGCUUAAAAGGUGCAAUUGCAUCACUACCAGAUGGACCUGCGUUGUAUUAGCUAGUUGGUGAGGUAACGGCUCACCAAGGCAACGAUACAUAGCCGACCUGAGAGGGUGAUCGGCCACACUGGGACUGAGACACGGCCCAGAUUCCUACGGGAGGCAGCAGUAGGGAAUCUUCGGCAAGGGACGGAAGUCUGACCGAGCAACGCCGCGUGAGUGAAGAAGGUUGUCGGAUCGUAAAGCUCUGUUGUAAGAGAAGAACGAGUGUGAGAGUGGAAAGUUCACACUGUGACGGUAUCUUACCAGAAAGGGACGGCUAACUACGUG